UACGGAGGGGGCUAGCGUUAUUCGGAAUUAUUGGGCGUAAAGGGCGCGUAGGCGGCCCGGUAAGUCAAAGGUGAAAUCCCUCGGCUCAACUGAGGAACUGCCUUUGAAACUGUCGGGCUCGAGGCCGGGAGGGGGUAGCGGAAUUCCCAGUGUAGCGGUGAAAUGCGUAGAUAUUGGGAGGAACACCGGUGGCGAAGGCGGCUACCUGGACCGGUUCUGACGCUGAUGCGCGAAAGCGUGGGGAGCGAACAGG
rnacentral:rRNA from 1 species